ACAAACAAACAAAACCCACAAAGAAACCACCUCUUGGCUUUUUAACAUUGAAACACCCUCCUGUGCAUACACCCCGAAGCACAUCCUCGGCGGCACCCAGCAUGAUCCUCGCAGCCGCCCCGGUGUCUCACAACCCACGCCAAUCUCGGCGGGCCGCUCCCUCUGCCCCCUUCCCCUCUCUGCAGCCCGCAAUUCCCGCGGGGAAGGGGUCACUGCCAUUCUUUUCCCUGCCUCCCACUGGACCCGUGCGGAGAGGCGGGCGGGCGGGAGAGGCACCCCCGGCGCUGCGCCGCACCUGCUCCGCGGGCACCCGCGGGACAGCAGGUGCCCACGGGAAGCAGAUGCCCACGGGAGGCAGGUGCUCAAGGGAAAGCAGGCGCUCAAGGGAAAGCAGGCGCCACGGGCGGUGGGAGCAGCGCGGACCGGCGCGGAGCAAUGCCUCCCGCAGCUCCCCCGCCCCACGCUGUCCCGCUGCCUCUGCCAUUCCCAAGCAGCCCUUCCCGGCAGCAGGCGUGAUGGGAACCGGUCUCUUUUGCUUUCAUUCUACGGGGAAAAGAGAAAAAAAAAGCAAAACUGGGAAUUUCCCCAGCCGUCACCGAGGGUUUAAAAGGCACCGGGAAGCCCCGCGCGGGCAGAGCAGGCGGGACGGCGGGGCCGGCGGCUCGGAGACAGCGGAGCAGGUGAGGAGCCAGCGCGGCCGGGGCUGCGGAGCGCAGCCAGCCCGGGGCAGAAAUGCUAAACUAGUGCAUAAUGGUUCUGCUACUUGACCUACCUGUGUAUGCACAGCUGACUCUCUUGGCAGCACUGCUGACCAUUGGAGGUCUUCUCUCAGGGGGUGCUCUCCUGGCACAAGGCAGAGGAUUGGCAGAUAAUCAGUGAAGACACUUCCUGUGAAGAUAGGAAAUAUUAAUGUUAGGUGCUGUUGAAAUACAGAUCUGGAGGAAGACAACUCGAGCAUACUCGAGAAAAAAAAAUGUUGACAAGAACUGAUGCAUACAGUUGACAUCAAGAGAGCAGAGAGAUCCUUUGGUGAACUGGAAGCGAACUGGCUGAUUUUUGCCUACCAAAGAGGGAGAAUAGGAUUUACUCAUGAGUAAAUCUAGAGACUGAGCACAGUGGGAAAGAGCUAGAUAAACCAAUGGGUGAGUGGUGUUUGUAAUUAGUUUGCAAAUAACUUCAAGCUAGAUCUUUGAAGAUGGCUUCUAACCAAGGGGAAAAAAAUCCCACAUUUCUGUAUUUUAGCCUUUAGUCUAUGUUGUGGCGGAGAUAAAUAAAGAUCCCGAAAAAAAGGUGUGGCAACAAUAUGAAAAUAGUGUUGCUAGGAGGCUAUUUGAAACAAAAUAAAAUGGCCAAUAGUACUUUUCAGUCCUGAGCUAUACCAAAGAUUUUCGCUACACUAAAGUCUGUCUCUCAUACUCACAUUUUUUUUCUUUUUGUUUUUUGAUACAAACACUUUUGUAUCUCCUAUGUAAUUAAAAACAAGAACAGAUUUAGCAAAGCCACAGUAAUGUGUUUGCUGAUUCUUUGCAGCUCAGAAUUAAAAAGAGUAGUUUUCUGGGGAAAGAAAAGACCAUUUAUUUGAUUUUAAUGAUUAUUUAAAUAAUUAACUAGUAGCUUUUGGUUAUGUUUAGCUUUGUCCCCAAGAACUGAUAACUCAUCUUAAAAUCAAUGGUUGCCUAGUGACAAGCAAUUAUUAUAUAGUUUUAUUACUUGUAGACAAGUAAAAUAUUGUCUUGGCCUGUAAUGAUGGGCAGAAGCCUAAAGCUGUGAUUUUAUCAGAGUUUUGGAGGUUUCAGCAAGACAAAUGCAUUGUUUUUGACAUUCCUGUGAGCUUCUCACAAAUUUCUUGUUAUCCAUGGAACAAUUUCCAUUAUAUAAUUUGUGUUUUUAUUCAAGGGUGAAAUAUGGAGCCAGACUUGGGUUUUCAUUUUGUUUUGGCUUUCUUUUUUUAAUUCUCUCAUAUUUUAAAAAUAUUUGUGCAAGAAAAAAUAUAUUUCUGGGCAAGUCAUCUUUGCUGAGAGCUUUGGCCAGCUAAGAGCCAGCAAUACUGGCAAGAAUCAGUGUUUGCCACUUAAUUCUUCCAGUUCAUCUGAGUAAGAGGGUAAGGUCCUUGUAGAUGUGAAUUUGCUGACUGUGAGCUGCCUCAAAAUACUGAAAGAAAAUAUUGCAAAGGCCAGUCACAAGAACCAUAAUGAAAUGAAGUCUUAUUGAAACCAAUGAGUUCUUAUUGACUGAGCAUCAUUUGUGCUUUCACAGAUUUGACUUAUUGCAAACUGGACACUUGUUUUUCUGAAAAUGGAAAGUGAAAAUAAAACCCAUAAUGAAUGUAAAGAGAAAAAGUGCAACCAACAUAACAGCCUCAAUUUAUGAGGAGCAGGAGUUUUCCAAAUAUGUUUGUUGUCUCUGUCAGCUUUCAUUCCCACAGCAGUUUCGGAGCAAAAUUAUUACAUUCUCUCAAGGGACACUGCUUUGCAUUGUUAUUAUUAUUUACUUUAUUGCUGGCAUGAGUGCUUACACAGUAAGAAGGACUAGGCUAACCAAACAGUUCAACCUGGGAUAAUCAAGUAGCCUGCUGUGGAUUUGAUUUGGAUUAAAUAGACAUUUUCAGGACUAGAAUAUGUGUGGGAGGUGUAGGAGGUGUCCACCCUCUCUCCAGGAGCACCCAUUUCACUUAUUUUGGCUGCACUUUCCUAGGAAGCAGCUGAUGUAUUUGUUCUCUUUCCUGUCAUGGAGGGAAAAACAUUUUGUUGCACUGGAAACAUUUCACCAGUUCAGUGGAGGCCUUCAGAGACUGGGAAAAAUGCAAGUAACCCUCUUUUAGGGCAUGCUCUUGUGUGAAGUCAUACACCUCUCUUAUUGACAGUCUCAUGGAUUUUUCUUUUUUAACUUGUAAGUUGCAAUAUCUAUUACCACUUAUGGACAAAAAUAAAACACAUAAUAUAAAACUUGCUUUAGUUUAUUAAUGAAGAGUAAGACUAAUGAGUGGCAUUUUAAGUGCUGCAAAACAACCCUCUAUUAUGCCUGUAAUGCCAUCACUUUCCUUUUUUAUCUAUAAGGCUGCACAACUUGCUUUUUUAGAAAGCUUUUGUACAAAAAUUGACUUCUUCUGUUGUGGGCUGUUCUUUGAGUACAGUGAUGAACAUGGCACAUGGUGGAAUUCUGGCCUUAAAAAAUGUUGUUGAUUUUGACACACCAUACCAAAUAAUACCUCAUAUAAAAAUCACAUAGAAAACUUCAUGUAAAAGUGAAAAAGCAAGGUAUUUUCUCACCAGUCAAGUGCAAUGGGGGAUCCUCUUGUCAGGAUUUAAGUCUAAAUAAUUCCUUUUUCUCCCCCUGGUUCUUGUUUCACUUUGCAUUUUUUUCUGCUUAAUGGAGGAAAUAAAGGACUUCAGAUCAUGAAGGACAAUCAAAUAAACAUGAGCAUUUAGUAAGAUGAUGUCAUCUUCAUAUUUUAUGGAUCCAGGGAGAGCUGAAGCGAAACACAAAGGAAGAAAAGGAAAAUGCUCAUUACUUCUGUAUCUGACAUUAGCUAUUCUUCUGUCACUUUUUAUUUCACUCCAAUGAAAGAGAUGCUGUAAAAAACAUUUUGUAACCACAAGAAUGAACUAUAAAUAUCAUCUUUGGUAUUGGCUCUGUUUAUCCUAGAGGUAGACCUUUGUGUGAUGCUGCAUGCUGAUGGAGAACUCUGGCAAGAGCAUCUUCCAUCUUCAGGAGUGGUGCAUGCAGGAGCUAGAGGAAAUGAGUGAGUGGAACGUGAGUGUCAAAUAGGCAGAGCCGGGGAAGCGCUGAGGAAGGAAAGGAGCCUUCUGGCGCUUUGCUGAAGGCUCAUGAAGAAUUGGAGCAUUAUGUUGGUGAGUGUGGUGGUUUAGGAAGACAGGGACGAUAAAGGAACCUUUUACCCUUUUUUUUUUUUUUUAGAAAUCAGAGUGUGAGGUCCUUUUAAUCUGUUUAAUGCCAGAGUUUAUCUUAUUGAUCUAUAAACUUUAGGGCUGGGAAUAUGUAAACGUGUAACCGGUGCAUGGCAAAGCCUUGCCUACGGCUCAUGCUCCACGAGAGGGAGCCAGAACUGUCUUUAAAAUGUCAGCAGUAAAACCUGGGAAAAGCCGCAGCCUAAGCUCUGCCCGAGGCGCUGCCCUUGCCUGGUGGCCAAGGCAGUGUUUUACCCACGGAGCUGCUGCUGCUCGGCCGUGCCCCCUCACAUCAGGGCAGCCCGGUUCGCACGACAGCGAGCGACCCGCUCUGAUCCACCCCGGCUGCCAUCGCCACCUCCUCAUCCUCCUCCUCCUCAUCCUCCUCAUCCUCCUCCUUCCUCUGCGCUCCCGCGGUGAGGAAUCACCAGCAGUGCGAAGAAAGCCUGCUGCGGCCGUGCAAAGACAGAGUGCCUCACUGCUGGUAGCCCUGCUGGGAUGAUGGGCAAAGGAGGCUGCCCCUUACCUGCAUCUGCAGUUUAUUGUCCGGCUUAGCUGAGGCAAUAAAUGCAGGAGGCGAACUGGGGGGGGUGAAACUGGAAUUAAAAUAUGCAACACCUGGCAGUGCAGUAGAAAGUAAGAAUACUUUUUGGAUCAUUGAGUUGCGUGUGCAAAGAUGUACUUCCUACUGACUUAAACACUAACAAAACAACAGAGCCUCUAAUUGGAAUCCUUCUAGGAAUACAUGUGCUACAUGGAAAAAACCUAGACCCAUAAAGUCAGAUGCAGGUGAUAAUGGAUUUCAGAACAACUUGGAGUUUUGAAAUUGACUGCAAUGAAAGCUAACUGAUCUGAAAUAAGAGGCAGCAAUACUAAAAAUGCUAUUGCUAAAAAAAACUUCCUUUGGCAAGUAAGUGUCCCUUAAGGAGGUCAGCUGGAGCUGCUGGUUGAGCACGUGAAGCUUAAACUGAAUCCCAUGCUGGAAAUGUGGAGCUAACUGAGCAAGGCUGUACACUGAGGGGGCUGUGAAGAUGCCUUUCCAGGAAGGUUUCUGAGUCAACAUGUGUCCAAAACCUGAGACAGGUCUGCAAGCAGGAAGGCCUGAAUGAAACAUUUUGGAAUACUUUUAAAUGAAAAAAAAUAUGAAAAUGCUGUUGUUUUAAAGUCAACAUUUCAAGCAAGAACUUGGUUCUAAUUUUUGCAGGGAAAACAAUUGUUUAUUUCAUCUCUGGAUUUUACAAAGCAAAACCCAUUAUUCUUCAGGAUUUGACAGUCAUGUGUGUGAAAGAGAGCCAAAACCCAAAACCGAAUCACAGGAUGGGUCAGGUUGGAAGGGACCACAGUGGGUCAUCUGGUCCAGCCUCCCUGGUCAAGCAGGGUCAUCCCAGAGCACAUGACACAGGAUUCUGUCCAGAUGGUUUUUGAAGUUCUCCAGUGAGAGAGACUCCACAACCUCUCUAGGUAAGGUGUUCCAGUGCUCAGUCGCCUGAUUAGUAGACAAGUUGUUCCUCACAUUCAGGUGGAAUUCCCUGUGCAUCAGUUUCUGCCCAUUGACUGUUGUCUGGUUUCUUGCACCACUGAGAAGAGGCUGGAUCCGUGCUCUUGGCACCUCUCCCUUCAGUUACUUACAGACAUGGAUGAGGUCCCUCACACAGCUGCCUCACCCCUGGGAUCCACUGUGUAUGCCCAGUCAGACUUGUUGGCCUUAGCCUGGUGUGAUGGACACGACUGCCAGAGCUGAGGGGCAUUAAUAGCUGGUUAAAAGGGUGAAUGAAAAAUUUUGUCUUAAGGCAGGGGAUAUGUUCUGAAUUGUAGAGUAUGGUUUUAAUUUAUUUCUAGAGGGGUGUGAAUGUGUGUGGAUGUACAAACGCUUGCUGCAUCACACUCCAGGGUGGAGUUGUUACUGUGUCUUCCUUGUGCUGUAGUGGGAGAAGGGCGAAGCACUAGGCAGUCUCUUCUUUGUUUGGCUCCUAAAAACGUCACUUGACAUAUGUAAAACUGACCUAAUCAUACCCAGAAACUGAAUUUGGUGACUUUUGCCAAGACCAAAAAGCUUUUUUGUUUUUUUCAACUGCUUCUCAUGAUGUAAGUUACUGCUGAUCUCUCCACCACUUUGCCCUUUGUUCUGCUAGAAGCAGCCAAGUACUGAAACAUGAUAUCCGUGAGGAUUAUGCAAACAAAGGGAAUAUUUACAUGUAGAGAAUAAUAUUGACAUUUGCAUCUGCCUUUCAGUGUCCCCUCAAAUUAACUGAGUAAGAAUAUAUUCAGGCUUCUUUGUUAAAUUUGCCCGCUGUAUGAAUUAUGACUGAUUCUUAAAAAUACAAAGUGCAUUACUAGUAAGCUCAGACACCAAGUAAUAUGUGGCUAAAAUUUAUAGUCAACUUAUGGUUGACAGCUAAUGUAAAUAGCUGGAAGACUGUAGACAACCAAAAUGCAUUUAAAAUGUCUCAUGCCCAGCAAUGAGAAGUGCACUCAGAUUUUUCUUCAGCCAGCUUGUUUCAUUGAAAACAGCCCUUAACAGUAAUUUAUCCUCUUUUUAAUGUUAGCAAUCCUAUGUCAAAUGAUUUGCAUGGGAAGAAAUAGCUGUGAGAAGCAUCUUAGCAAAUGCCUUAAUUGUUAGGUAAAAAUAACAUUUUGUCUGACAAGGGAAGAAAUAUUUGCAAAAUACUGAUAUGGGCGGGUUGUUUUUUUUUUUUUGAAGAUUGCUGUUACAUAAAUAUUACAACAUCGUUAAGCAAACAAUUUCAAUGAGAAAUAGCUUUCUCUCAUUUGUUCUCCUUUCUUUUUUUUCUAGUUCAUUAAUAAAAGGGCAAAAAAAACCCCUUAGGAAGUCAAGGGUUAGCAAAUAUGCUGGUACACUUACUGACUUUUUUUUUUUUUUUUUAAGUGACAAAGGCAAAAGAGGCUGAGCUGACCUUUAUGAAAGGAGAGAUCCAUGGGGAAAGCUUUCUUUCUGAUAGACAGGAAGCUAUCCAAUUCAACCAUUAAAGGUAGUGAAGGAGGAUGUUUAAGUCAUCUUUUAUCCCAUAGAGUCAAAAGCAACCUCAGGCUGUUAUUUCUCUAAGGCUAAAAGUGUACUUACACAGAACAUGUUGUUUACAGAAACUAUAAAAUACUUUAUUGCACUCAGUUUAAUCAAAUAAGCUAGCUAUCUGUUAGUGUUUCAAGGUAAUCUUUUAAAAAUAUUUAUUGUUUUGCUUUCAGUAUUUAUUUUUCUCACUAUGCACAUAAUCCCAAAUUUCACAUUCUGAUUAUUAUACUACAUAACUCUCUGUGUCUUCUCUAUAGUACAAGGCUCUCUGUUAAUCAGUUGCUUAUGCAAAAUGCAUAAGUUCCCAAUGCAUAUCUGGAUAUAAAAAAUAGUUAUAGAUAAUUGAUAUUUACUAAAGCAAAGAGUGAAAAUUAGAAGUCUCUGAGAGGUAUAGGUCUAAUGAUAGUACAGACAAUAGUACUAAAGCUCAUUAUGUAAACACAAAUGAUUGUACUGUAGGAUAGAUGGUUAAUCUUUGAUAUUAAGGAACCUAAGACUCAGUGUGCUACUUGUUCAUUUAAAGAAGAAGAAAAUAUAUAUUUUUUAAAAAUCCUGACUUUAGUGAGCAGAGGAGACAUCCAGAGUAGUAGGUACCUGUUAGCAGAUUGUCUCUAUUUGUUUUCCUUGCAAUAGACUGAAUGGCUACACAUGUUCUCUUUUGUUUGUUAAAACUUCUCUACUAAAGGCAGCCAAAACCGCUGAUGAAAAAUGUUUUUAUUAAAAAAAUAUUGUAGCUUCGUUUAGGCAGUGUUCUCAUUCAGUGGAAAUUGAAUGAAGCUCAUGAAAAAAUGCAGGGGGAAGAAGAACUAUAUAAAAAAUGCAAACUCCCAAUAUAAGAGCUGAAUCACUGCAAAAAUGAAAUUGCAAUGCCACAAUACCCAGCAUAGUGGAUAAUGAGCAGAAUACAGUGGAAGGAAGGUAGCCUGGCUCUCCCACACUGACUCUGUAACCUAAGUGCAUUCUGCUGUGAAACUGAAGUGUAGUUUAAGGUAAGUCCAGCUAAGCAAUUUAAGCACAGAUAAGCAUUUUGUUCAGAUGUCUGUAGAACAUCUCAAGUGCCACAUCCAGGAAGGGAGCUCAUCCUAGUUCACAUGUUGUGACUUCUCCAUGCAGUGCAGUUGGGGACGGGGUAGGUGGGACACCCUGUCCCUUCCCCUGCAGCGAGGUUCCACAGGCUAUGGAUCUCCUGACCCACCCCAUGCUGCUCCUGGUCCUGCUGAGAAUGUGACAGCUGAAUAUUGCAGAGUGCUGUGAAGUGUUGAUGGCUGGACAGUGUCCCCAAGAGAUGAAAACCUGCAAACAAGGUCUAAAAUAAGACCUUUGUAGCCUUUGCCGUGCAUUUUGGGCUCCCUCUGGGAAUUUUUACUGGGACAGGACAAACUAAUAAUGAUCAUGGUUAUAACAAAUGAGACUUCAAUACCUGCUGGUGGUGUUGAUAAAACUGGGAGCUUUCCAGAAUUAUUGCAGUUCAUCCACAUGGCAUAAAAGUACGUGAAAACUAAAUACAGGUAAUAAUGCUGAACACAAGUCAACUGAAAAUUUUAAAUUAACAAUUAGAUGAACUUGAAAUUUUUAAAAAUCUCCAUGGAAUAUGAAAAGAGUAAGGAAACAAAGAUUAUACCUAAAAGAAUAUAAGAAAAUACAAGCUGCUUUGGAAUUUAUAAACAAUACCUUGAUAUUCCUUUAAUUAAUUCAGGAAUAGAAGAGGACUAAUAGGAAAAAAAUACAAAAAAAACUACAAUGAAAACCGAAGCUAUCUUGAAUUCAUUGAUGUACAUAUAACAUAUUUUAUUAAAAAGCAUGAUUUUAAAUACAUAUUCCAAUAAACAUUCCCUAGAAAACUCUAAAGUACACUUUUAUUGAGUAACAUCUCAG